rnacentral:rRNA from 1 species
AGUGAACGCUGGCGGCAUGCCUAACACAUGCAAGUCGAACGGCAGCACAGUAAGAUUUCGCCUUUACGGGUGGCGAGUGGCGGACGGGUGAGGAAUACAUCGCAUUCUUCUUUUACGUGGGGGAUAACGUAGGGCCACUUACGCUACUACCGCAUACGAUCUACGGGUGAAAGCAGUGGAUCUUCGCACCUUGCCCGACUCAUAGAGCCGGUGUCGGAUUAGCUAGUUGGCUGGGUAAGGGCACACCAAGGCGACGAUGCGUAGCUGAUCUGAGAGGAUGAUCGGCCACACUGGAACUGAGACACGGUCCAGACUCCUACGGGAGGCAGCAGUAGGGAAUAUUCCGCAAUGGGCGCAAGCCUGACGGAGCAAUGCCGCGUGAGUGAUGAAGGCCUUCGGGUUGUAAAGCCCUGUUAUUAGGAAAGAAAAGCAGCAUAAUUAUACCUCGCUGUUCUGACGGUACCUAAUGAGUAAGCCCCGGCUAACUUCGUG